GUCGCCGGCGGUUUCCGCCGGAGGAAAGUCCGGACUCCGCAGGGCAGGGCGCCCCGCCCAACAAGCGGGGGCGGCGCGGGCAAGCCGCGCCGACGGAGAGUGCCACAGAAACCAGACCGCCCCGCGGGGCGACCCGCGGAGCAAGGGUGAAAGGGCGGUGCAAGAGACCGCCGCGCGCCGAGGAGACGAGGCGCGGCACGGAAAACCCCGCCCGGAGCAAGAUCGAAUAGGGGACCAAAUCCGCGCGGUCCGCGCGGUGUCCGCCGCGAGGCGGACGCAAUCCCGGGUUGAUCGCCCAGAUGAAUGAUCCGAACCACGCCGCAAGGAUGGAUACAGAAUCCGGCUUAUGAAGCC
rnacentral:RNase_P_RNA from 1 species